UUCAUUCCGAAAUGAUCCAAAUUUUGAAAAAUUGUAGGUUUCUGAACAUACAAUAAAUGCGCAUAAUUUAUUAUGUCAAUUUUUUUUUUUCUAUAAAAAUUAUCAAAAAAAUGUUUUUCAUUCAUUUAUGUUAUUCAAACAAAAUUUUAAUAAUAAAUAUGUUUAUUUCACUUUUUUUCACUUUUAAAAUUUUUCCAACGAAACUUAACACCCUAAUGUGCUAUACUCAUACAUGCGGACAUGUAUGCUAAUUAUAUAACAAAUGACAUUGCUGAGGUUAUUGAUUUUUCCAAUUCUUUGUUGCUGUAUAAAAAAGCUUCGUCUAAAGAUAAGAUCGCCAAUAAUAAAUUUAAAUAUUUAUUCGCACAUGCAAAUAUCCAUACAUAACUUAACAACCGAAUUUCAUUAUAAAUUCGUUAAAAAAUCGUCGUAUAUGUAAAUUUUAGUAUAAACUUGAAAACGAAUCGUCUUUAUUGAAGUACGUGGUUCUAUUUUUAUGUCCACCUGUGUGCCGUCUAGAAGUUUGUUGUUUUGCUUAUUAUCUUAUCUAUGCAUGUAUGUAUGUUGGUUUUUGCUUUAUACACACUUUUUAUAGCGAUUAAAAAUAUCUACACUUGUAUCCACAUUCUACUUUUUUACUUUUAUUAUUAUUAUUUUUUAAUGUGCAUACAUUAUACCUUUACGUUUGGUUAUUUUCGAAAUACCUAUGCAUGUAUGUAUACAGAAUUUCGUAUUUGUUUAUGCUUUCUAUUUUAGUUUGGUAUUUUCUAAAGCGAAGAAAUAUUAAAUUUAUUAGUUAACCUGAAGAGAAAAUCUAUACCCAGAAAUCUUAGCCAAUGAAAACUGUUGAUAAUGCCGUCGAUGCUGUAGAAAUGCCUUUGAAAAUAAUUCAAAAGAAUUUUUGAAAUUUCAAAAGUUAUGAUGUUUUUUUGGCCGUCAGUUUAAUUUAUUACAACAUUCUUUGCUUUCAAUGCAGCUCUUUGUAAAACAUUUAUUCAAAUCUCAAGGGCUUUUAUAGAAAUUCUGCAUUUCAAACGACUUUUAUGGUUUCAACAGACACCUGUCGGUUUCGGCGCGUGUUUCGGCUUUUACCUACAAACAUCCGGACACACGUACAUAUGCAUAUAUGUCUCGUAUGUAUGUAUGUACAAGCUACUAGCUACAAGCUACUUUCAUUAUUAGGAAACGAGGCGACCACAUGUUCAUCAACCAUUGGUCUUUCAAUUAAUAAUUGCUGUAGAAUAUUCCAUGUUACAUUCAGUGUCAAAAAAUGAACUAAAUUAAUAUAUUGUAAUACUUGUGUUUGUUGUAAUAUUAUAUAUAUGUAAAUAUGAAUCGUGUCAAAAUUUUGCCCUUUCUAAUGAUAAAACCUCCAAUCUACAAUACUCGAAAGAGUUAUUUAUUAGAUUUUAAUUAGAAGUCAAAGGAAUUAUCUUUGAGAAUAGAUAAAGUCCUUGUGCGAGAUGCUGUCACCUACCCGUGCGGAGCGUUGGGUCACAUCUAAUAGAGAAAUAGACUUAGUGAAGUCAUUUCCACUAAUUCGGUUUAAGGGUCCCCAGCAGGGUCUCAGAGGUGCGCCUGCGAACUGCCCGAAACAGGCUUAAUCCAAGUCACCAAGGUCUUCUAACGGGUGGUCUAGGAAACGAGCUGUUUCGACGGGUUAAAGGGACAGGUGGGUUAGAUGUGUUGGUUUUAGGGGGCAUGUAAUGAGGUUCUUUGUGCCUUACUCGGACUCGUUAAAUACUGGACAUGCGUUAGAUAUGUCGGGUCGAGUCUGGAUAAGUAGAAGUUCCACCUGCUACAAUACCCCGACGUAAGUUGCGCCUGCAUUGCGCGGGUUAUCGAGGCAACUUGAGCGCUCCGUCUGCAAUAGGAGGGAAAGAACGGAACGUUCAAAUACUUCAGCGGCAAUAUAAAGGAAUGUAAAUUCGAUGUUGAAUAUCUAACUAAAGGGACUCCGCUGCAGAUGACUAUCGUUUACUCCGGUAAAGUAAAGUCUGAAUGAAGUUAUGAGGUGUACGAUAUCAAUGCGAGAGCAGACACUGGACUGAGACUGAUGGACUUAAAGCUGUAUGUGUUCUUUUGCUAUUCUUAUUUUUCUGUCCCACAGCGUAUUAGUGCUUCUGUCAGCGCUGCGUUGCUAUUGCACAACAGUAUUUAUCCGCUGCAACGUAAUAUAAUGCAACGUCGCAACUAGUUCGCCAUCUCGUUGUUAUUGUAUGGCGAGACUCAUUGCUUCUUGAGCGACAGACGAACUGCGCGUCACAUUCUCUCACAUAAAUUUUUCAAGUAUUUAUCUACAGCCUCCUGCAAUGUCCACAUGAGCCCCACCUGCUUGCUGGUGGAACUGUAGAGGUGAAGAUAAUGUUUUGUUUACUUUGCCUAUCUAUUUGUCAUUUUAUUUUAUUAUUGCUCUACGCUCGCUGCGCUCUGCGCCUCUUCGCUGCUAUGAGUGCCAAUGAUGAUGACUUUGUAUGCCUUAAAGCUUUCAAGCUCUCACCGGAUUUCACGACUGCCUACCGGUCGAUCUGCUUGACUGCUUCCCUUUGGCUGGCUGGCUGGCUGCAUGGCUGGCGUGGGGAUCUAUUUUGUGCAAAUAUAAAAAUCGUUAACAUUCUUGGCGCUUUGUUAGUCUACAAUCAGACGUUGAGCGGUGGAACUCUACCCACAGUUGUUAAACAGAAAUAAUUAUAUUAAUUAAUUUGGGAAACCAACAGUAUUUUAGCACCCGCAUUGUAAAGGGUUGUAAAGAAGUUAACUUGAGAAUAAGUAUACGCACAACAAAACUACAUAAAUGUGAAGGCUUUCGAUCGAAGCCACAACCUUUUUGUGCAUCAUCACCACCACCACCAACACAAUAUCGAGGUUGAAUAAAUAAAGAUAUUGCUAAUUUAAAUAUUUGUAAUGUUCAAAAUAGAACAAACAAGCUGCAUGUACAUCUGAUAAAAUGAUAUAGUUAUCUCACAGCAUCAUAAAGUAAUAAAGUGUAACUGAGCUAAAUAUGUAUGUAGAUAUGUACAAACAUUCGAGAAAAUUCCACAAAACAAAAAAAACGCCUC